rnacentral:lncRNA from 1 species
CCCCCUUCACUGAAAAUCCGCAACCAAGACCAUCACCUAACACUGAUAACACGUACAAUGCUUUUCGAUUUGAACACGGACAACGUGUUAAACCCCCAUUUCAAAAUGGAUCGAAUACAUAGAACACACCCAAACUCAACUGGUUUGAUUUUCUUGGAUUUUCUCAAAAACUUCAUUGAAACUGCGGUCUGUCUUCAACAGCUCUAUCAACCUCUUUGAACCAUUUUCACUCAAAUCAAGAGACAAAAACCUUCAGUUUUAUCAAAUUCUUGAAAAUAUUUGCAGAAAUUUUGCCUUCAAAAGUUGUUCCAGGGUCACGGCUCUGACCACCAGUCCACCUUCUCCAACAAAUUAAUCCUAGAAGUAUACCCCCUUAAAAAUUCGUCGUGCAAGUUGUGAAUUUUUGAUAAGGAAAAAAAAUUGGGAAUUAGGAAAUAGGAUUUCGAAUUUGGGAUUAAACACACGAAAUUGGGGGUGUUGAAGGAAUGGAUUCAUGAAAUUUCGGCACGAUGGCGAUUGUCGAUUUGAUGUAGUGGCGGCGGCUACGAUGCCGAUGAAUUGUAAGUGAUGGCCGGUGGCUCGGCCGGAGUGGGAUGUGGUUUUUCCUGGUCUAAUUUUGAUUGUGGGGGUGGGGAUUAGGGUUGGUGGGGUUGGGAAAGUUUCGGUUUCAGUUCUUUACAUUUUCCUUCUUUUUUUUUUUCUUUUUUUUUUUUAUAAAUAUAAUUUAAUAUUUUAAUUAUUUGUAGUAGAAAAAUCUAAAAUUACCAUUUUAUCCCUUUCAAUUUAGUUAAAAUUGGUCAAAAUUCAUUUUUAUUGAAAUAGGUGGUUUUAAUCCAAUCAAACUCCAACUGUUACUUUUUCAAAGGUUUGUAACUUUCGCUAGCACAAAGUAAAGAUUAGGGUAAAGUCUGCUAAAAAUUCAAAGAUUUG